rnacentral:rRNA from 1 species
AUUGAACGCUGGCGGCAGGCUUAACACAUGCAAGUCGAACGAGUGGCGGACGGGUGAGUACUGCUUGGGAAUCUAGCUUAUGGCGGGGUAUAACUACGGGAAACUGUAGCUAAUACCGCGUUCCAUAGGAUGAGGCCAAGUGGGAUUAGGUAGUUGGUGAUGUAAAGGCUCAACAAGCCGACGAUCUCUAGCUGGUCUGAGAGGAUGACCAACCACACGGUGACUGAGACAGGGCCCAGACUCCGACGAGAGGAAACAGUGGAGAAUAUUACGGGAUGGGGGCAACCGGACGCAGCCAAGCGGCGGAAAUGAAGAAGGCCGUCGGGUGGUAAAGUUCUUACGGUAGCGAGGAGUUAACUACAGAAGAAGCACCGGCUAACACCGGGCCAGCAGCCGCGUUAAUC